rnacentral:rRNA from 1 species
CCUACGGGUGGCAGCAGUGAGGCAUAUUGGUCAAUGGGCGCGAGCCUGAACCAGCCAAGCAGCGUGAAGGAUGACUGCACUAAGGGUCGUCAACUUCUUUUAUCAAGGAAUAAAGUCAGGCACGUGUGCCUUGUUGUAUGUACUUUAUGAAUAAGCAUCAGCUAACUCCGUGCCAGCAGCCGCGGUAAUACGGAGGAUCCGAGCGUUCUCCGGAUUUAUUAGGUUUAAAGGGUGCGUAGAUGGGUUGUUAAGUCAGUGGUGAAAGUUUGGGGCUCAACCGUAAGACUGCAGUUGAUAAUGGCAGCAUUGAGUACGGUUGAGGUAUGCGGAAUGCGUGGUGUAGCGGUGAAAUGCUUAGAUAUCACGAAGAACUCCGAUUGCGAAGGCAGCCUGCUAGACUGCCACUGACAUUGAUGCUCGAAAGUGUGGGUAUCGAACAGGAUUAGAUACCCGAGUAGUC